rnacentral:rRNA from 1 species
AACGAACGCUGGCGGCGUGCCUAACACAUGCAAGUCGAACGGUAAAACCCGCAAGGGUGAGUACAGUGGCGCACGGGUGCGUAACACGUGGGUAAUCUGCCCAGAAGCCCGGAAUAACUCCCCGAAAGGGGUGCUAAUGCCGGAUGAGACCACGGGGACUUCGGUUCCUGGGGGAAAAGGUGGCCUCUGUAUACAAGCUAUCACUUCUGGAUGAGCCCGCGGCCCAUCAGCUAGUUGGCGGGGUGAUGGCCCACCAAGGCUACGACGGGUAGCGGGUCGGGGAAGACGAUCAGCCACACUGGAACUGAGACACGGUCCAGACUCCUACGGGAGGCAGCAGUGGGGAAUCUUGCGCAAUGGGCAAAGCCUGACGCAGCAACGCCGCGUGUGUGAUGAAGGUCUUCGGAUCGUAAAGCACUGUCGGGAGGGACGAAUAAGGGCCGGGUGAACAAUCCGGUUCGACGACGGUACCUCCAGAGGAAGCACCGGCUAACUCUGUGCCAGCCGCCGCCGUAAAAC